UGAGUAACACGUAUCCAACCUGCCGUCUACUCUUGGCCAGCCUUCUGAAAGGAAGAUUAAUCCAGGAUGGGAUCAUGAGUUCACAUGUCCGCAUGAUUAAAGGUAUUUUCCGGUAGACGAUGGGGAUGCGUUCCAUUAGAUAGUAGGCGGGGUAACGGCCCACCUAGUCAACGAUGGAUAGGGGUUCUGAGAGGAAGGUCCCCCACAUUGGAACUGAGACACGGUCCAA
rnacentral:rRNA from 1 species